AGUAACAGAGAGUUUGAUCAUGGCUCAGAUUGAACGCUGGCGGGAUGCUUUACACAUGCAAGUCGAACGGCAGCACGGACUUCGGUCUGGUGGCGAGUGGCGAACGGGUGAGUAAUGUAUCGGAACGUACUAGUAGCGGGGGAUAACUACGCGAAAGCGUAGCUAAUACCGCAUACACGCCCUUCGGGGAAAGCGGGGGACCUUCGGGCCUCGCACUAUUAAAACGGCCAUUUGAUAUCGGAUUGGCUAGUUGGUGGGGUAACGGCUCACCAGGCGACGAUCCGUAGCUGGUUUGAAGGGCCGACCAGCCACACUGGGACUGAGACACGGCCCAGACUCCUGGGAGGCAGCAGUGGGGAAUUUUGGACAAUGGGGGAAACCCUGAUCCAGCCAUCCCGCGUGUGCGAUGAAGGCCUUCGGGUUGUAAAGCACUUUUGGCAUAGGGAAAGAAACAGCUGGGAUAAUACCCGUGCAACUGACGGUACCUGCCAGUCACGCCUGCCGGCUAACCACGUGCCAGCAGCCGCGGUAAUACGUAGGGUGCAAGCGUUAAUCGGAAUUACUGAAUAAAGCGUGCGCAGGCGGUUCGAAGAAGAUGUGAAAUCCCAGAACCGCUUUGGAACUGCAUUUUUAACUACCGAGCUAGAGUGUGUCAGAGGGAGGUGGAAUUCCGCGUGUAGCAGUGAAAUGCGUAGGCGUAUGCGGAAGACACCGAUGGCGAAGGCAGCCUCCUGGGAUAACACUGACGCUCAUGCACGAAAGCGUGGGGAGCAAACAGAGUUAGAUACCCUGGUGAAUCCCGCCUAAAAGCGAUGUCAACUAGCUGUUGUUGGGGCCUUCGGGCCUUGGUAACAACUACUGCAUGAAGGUUAGUACCACAGGAAGUACACAGUCGCAAAGAUUAAAAACUCAAAGGAAUUGACGGGGACCCACUGGCAGUGGAUGAUGUGGAUUAAUUCGAUGCAACGCGAAAAACCUUACCUACCCUUGACAUGUCUGGAAUCCCGAAGAGAUUUGGGAGUGCUCGCAAGAGAACCGGAACACAGGUGCUGCAUGGCUGUCGUCAGCUCGUGUCGUGAGAUGUUGGGUUAAGUCCCGCAACGAGCGCAACCCUUGUCAUUAGUUGCUACGAAAAGGGCACUCUAAUGGGGCCUGUCGGUGACAAACCGGAGGAAGGUGGGGAUGACGUCAAGUCCUCAUGGCCCUUAUGGGUAGGGCUUCACACGUCAUACAAUGGUCGGGACAGAGGGUCGCCAACCCGCGAGGAGGAGCCAAUCCCAGAAACUUGAUCGUAGUCGGAUCGCAGUCUGCAGCUCGACUGCGUGAAGUCGGAAUCGCUAGUAAUCGCCGGAUCAGCAUGUCGCGGUGAAUGCGUUCCCGGGUCUUGUACACACCGCCCACGUCACACCAUGGGAGUGGGUUUUACCAGAAGUAGUUAGCCUAGCUAACCAUCGGAGGGCGAUUACCACGGUAGGAUUCAUGACUGGGAGAUUGAAGUCGUAACAAGAGU
rnacentral:rRNA from 1 species